rnacentral:rRNA from 1 species
AGCGAACGCUGGCGGCAGGCCUAACACAUGCAAGUCGAACGGUCUCUUCGGAGGCAGUGGCGGACGGGUGAGUAACGCGUGGGAACGUGCCCUUUGGUUCGGAACAACACAGGGAAACUUGUGCUAAUACCGGAUGAGCCCUUCGGGGGAAAGAUUUAUCGCCAUUGGAGCGGCCCGGGUUGGGUUAGGUAGUUGGUGGUGUAAAGGCCUACCAAGCCUACGAUCCAUAGCUGGUCUGAGAGGAUGAUCGGCCACACUGGGACUGAGACACGGCCCAGACUCCUACGGGAGGCAGCAGUGGGGAAUCUUGCGCAAUGGGCGAAAGCCUGACGCAGCCAUGCCGCGUGUAUGAUGAAGGUCUUAGGAUUGUAAAAUACUUUCACCGGGGAAGAUAAUGACGGUACCCGGAGAAGAAGCCCCGGCUAACUUCGUGCCAGCCGCCGCCGUAAAAC